CCUACGGGUGGCUGCAGUGAGGAAUCUUGCACAAUGGGGGCAACCCUGAUGCAGCGACGCCGCGUGCGGGAAGAAGGCCUUCGGGUCGUAAACCGCUUCUCUGGGGGAAGAGGAAGGACGGUACCCCAGGAAUAAGUCCCGGCUAACUACGUGCCAGCAGCCGCGGUAAAACGUAGGGGGCGAGCGUUAUCCGGAAUUACUGGGCGUAAAGGGCGUCUAGGCGGCACGCCAAGUCUCGCGUGAAAGCUCCCGGCUCAANUGGGAGAGGGCGCGGGAAACUGGCGAGCUAGAGACUCGGAGGGGGGUGUGGAAUUCCCGGUGGAGUGGUGAAAUGCGUUGAGAUCGGGAGGAACACCCGUGGCGAAGGCGGCACCCUGGCCGAGGUCUGACGCUGAAGCGCGACAGCGUGGGUAGCAAACGGGAUUAGAUACCCUGGUANUC
rnacentral:rRNA from 1 species